GACGAACGCUGGCGGCGUGCCUAAUACAUGCAAGUCGAGCGGACGGAUGGGAGCUUGCUCCCAGACCGUCAGCGGCGGACGGGUGAGUAACCCGUGGGCAACCUGCCUGUAAGACUGGGAUAACUCCGGGAAACCGGGGCUAAUACCGGAUAACUCUUUCCCCCCAAGGGGGACAACUGAAAAAUUGGAUUUUGCUAUCACUUACAGAUGGGCCCGCGGCGCAUUAGCUAGUUGGUGAGGUAACGGCUCACCAAGGCGACGAUGCGUAGCCGACCUGAGAGGGUGAUCGGCCACACUGGGACUGAGACACGGCCCAGACUCCUACGGGAGGCAGCAGUAGGGAAUCUUCCGCAAUGGACGAAAGUCUGACGGAGCAACGCCGCGUGAGUGAUGAAGGUUUUCGGAUCGUAAAACUCUGUUGUCAGGGAAGAACAAGUACCGGAGUAACUGCCGGUACCUUGACGGUACCUGACCAGAAAGCCACGGCUAACUACGUG
rnacentral:rRNA from 1 species